GAUGAACGCUGGCGGCGUGCCUAAUACAUGCAAGUCGAGCGAACGGACGAGAAGCUUGCUUCUCUGAUGUUAGCGGCGGACGGGUGAGUAACACGUGGAUAACCUACCUAUAAGACUGGGAUAACUUCGGGAAACCGGAGCUAAUACCGGAUAAUAUUUUGAACCGCAUGGUUCAAAAGUGAAAGACGGUCUUGCUGUCACUUAUAGAUGGAUCCGCGCUGCAUUAGCUAGUUGGUAAGGUAACGGCUUACCAAGGCAACGAUGCAUAGCCGACCUGAGAGGGUGAUCGGCCACACUGGAACUGAGACACGGUCCAGACUCCUACGGGAGGCAGCAGUAGGGAAUCUUCCGCAAUGGGCGAAAGCCUGACGGAGCAACACCGCGUGAGUGAUGAAGGUCUUCGGAUCGUAAAACUCUGUUAUUAGGGAAGAACAAAUGUGUAAGUAACUGUGCACAUCUUGACGGUACCUAAUCAGAAAGCCACGGCUAACUACGUG
rnacentral:rRNA from 1 species